rnacentral:siRNA from 1 species
GUUGGGCCAAACUAAAAUGGAC